AGAGUUUGAUCCUGGCUCAGAACAAACGCUGGCGGCGUGCCUAAUACAUGCAAGUCGAACGAGGAAAACUUUCGGGUGAGUACUAGUGGCGCACGGGUGAGUAACGCGUGAGUAAUCUUCCUUAGAGUGGGGGAUAACCAGUCGAAAGAUUGGCUAAUACCGCAUAUGACCACAGGAUCUGCGGAUCCAGGGGUAAAAGGUUUUUCGCUCUAAGAUGAGCUCGCGUAAGAUUAGCUAGUUGGUGAGGUAACGGCUCACCAAGGCAACGACGGGUAGGGGACCUGAGAGGGUGGCCCCCCACAAUGGAACUGAAACACGGUCCAUACACCUACGGGUGGCAGCAGUAGGGAAUAUUGCUCAAUGGGCGAAAGCCUGAAGCAGCAACGCCGCGUGUGCGAUGAAGGCCUUCGGGUCGUAAAGCACUUUUCUGAGAGAUGAGAAAGGACAGUAUCUCAGGAAUAAGUCUCGGCUAACUACGUGCCAGCAGCCGCGGUAAUAA
rnacentral:rRNA from 1 species